rnacentral:rRNA from 1 species
UGCGGAAUGCGUGGUGUAGCCGGUGAAAUGCUUAGAUAUCACGCAGAACCCCCAAUUGCGAAGGCAGCAUACUGGACCGGGAACUGACGCUGAAGCACGAAAGCGUGGGGAUCAAACAGGAUUAGAUACCCUGGUAGUCCACGCCGUAAACUAUGAAUGCUAGCUAUUGGCGAUAUACAGUCAGUGGCACAAGAGAAAUCGUUAAGCAUUCCACCUGGGGAGUACGCCGGCAACGGUGAAACUCAAAGGAAUUGACGGGGGCCCGCACAAGCGGAGGAACAUGUGGUUUAAUUCGAUGAUACGCGAGGAACCUUACCCGGGUUUGAACGCAGGGGGAAUACAGUGGAAACAUUGUAGCCAGCAAUGGCCGCCUGCGAGGUGCUGCAUGGUUGUCGUCAGCUCGUGCCGUGAGGUGUCGGCUUAAGUGCCAUAACGAGCGCAACCCCUAUCGAUAGUUACUAACAGGUUAAGCUGAGGACUCUAUUGAGACUGCCAGCGUAAGCUGCGAGGAAGGUGGGGAUGACGUCAAAUCAGCACGGCCCUUACAUCCGGGGCGACACACGUGUUACAAUGGUGGGUACAGAGGGCAGCUACCUGGCGACAGGAUGCGAAUCUCCAAAACCCAUCUCAGUUCGGAUCGCAGUCUGCAACUC